rnacentral:lncRNA from 1 species
GCCAAGACAAGCGGAAGCUCCGGUUCAGGGAGAACGUUCCCCAGGAAAUCAGGGCAGCAGAGUUUUCCAGGAACGGAGGCUGUGACGGUGGAGGGUGGCCAGGCAGCAGGAGGCCGGGGAAGCGGGUGUCCUGAAGCAGAGGCCGCGGCGCCACGUGUAUGGCAGCUUGCAGGAUAAAAGCCAAAGUGAUUGCUCCAAAUGGACAUCCAUGCCAGUCAUCUGUGCAUCUUCUGGUGUGUGCAGGACCCGAUGGAGGAGUGAUGAGACCUCAGAGCCAUGUCCAGGCUCUUCCAGUCAGUUGGUGGCCUCCACAAAUGCCAGCCAGCCCGCCCAAUGCAAGCUUCUGCUUGGCCAACGUGUAGCAGUUACGAUGCAGCAAUUGGAAGAGGCUGUGGGGAUCAGUAAUUCCAGUGGGGGAGCGACGGACACCCCUAAGAACCCAUUCCACGAUUUUAGUCCCAAAUUGGAUUUUGCUUGGAGAAAUUCUCUGCCCUGUAGUAGUGGUUUUUAAGAUCACAGAUAUUGGAGUAAGAAAGACAAGGCUCUUCUAUUUGCUGGUCUAUUGACUCACAGGGGAAUACCAGAGAACUUGGCAUCCAGAAAACAGUCAACAAAUGAAGACAGUGCAACUAAGACCUGGGCGCCAUGUUCCUUCCCUAAGGCUCAUUUCACUAGGAUGCUGUGUCAGCACGCGCACACACACACACACACACACUCACACACUCCAGGAAGCCUCUAAAAGAAAUGCAAGUGUUCUCCAGUAGAAGGAGCAUCGCUGAAAUUUACUCAACAGCACGGUCUUCGUGUCUUUCCCUCCCAGGCCCACACUCUCAGCUGCCUCCUCCCCUCUCGCUCCUUUCCUCCUGUGUUCUCCAGCAAGGGUGAGGACCCACUGUCAUUCAGAAAACCUCCUCCUAGUUUUUCUAUGCAGGGAGUCAUUCACACAUCCAGCAAGGAAAACAGGGGCUUGUGCAGACUCUCCUUGGGAGGUAAUGGGAGAGGGAUUCUAAAUGCUUGUCACAUUUUUACCUGACACUGUUACUACCAUGUAACUACUAAUAACUAAUGCCAACUUCUGAAUCAUAUUUCCUAUCAUCUUAUGAGAGAGAACUCUGUGGUGUAUAAACACCAAAUCACAAAUCUCCACUUUACAUUCUUGUUUGUCUACUUGUUUGUCUGUUUUCCACUGCAGUGCAGGAGCCCGUGGAGGAGACC